AUGGUUGUAGGAGGGGAUCUUAGACAGAUAUUGCCAGUUAUUGAAGGGGGUACCAGGCCUCAGAUUAUUGAUGCAGCCAUCACAAAUUCUCCGCUAUGGUGCAAUGUUCAGACCCUGCCCCUUACAAUUAACAUGCGAUUGGCUGUGCCAAAUGCAAAUGCUAGGGUACAAGAAGCUGCUGCUUUGUUCAGUAGGUGGGUGCUAGAUCUUGGUGAGGGGAGACUGCCUGUUACGAAGCGAGGUGAUGAGUCAGGGGCUUCUUGGAUAGAAAUACCAGAUGAUCUGUUGGUUCAGGCCGAUGGGAAUCCAAUAUCUGCCAUCGUCUCUUCCAUUUACAUUGACUUUCUGGAUAAUUAUGUAAGACCUGACUAUUUGCGAGAGCGAUCCAUUCUAGCAACGACCAAUGACUUUGCCAAGGACAUAAAUGUUCAUGUUAUGAGUUUGGUUCCAACCGUUAGCAGAGAGUAUUUGAGCGCCGAUUCCAUAGAUAGCUCUGGAGAUUGUGUUCAAGAGGAAAACCUGUUUUAUCCUGUGGAGUAUUUGAAUACUAUAAAAAUCAUUAAUUUUCCCUGCCACAAGCUUACUCUUAUAAAAGGGGUUCCGAUUAUGCUGUUAAGAAAUCUGAGCCAGGCGAAUGGUCUUUGUAAUGGCACACGCCUUAUUGUAAAAGAUAUGGGCGAUCAUGUCAUUGAGGCUGUUAUAAUAACAGGGUCCCACAUAGGUGAUACCGUCUACAUCCCUAGAAUUGAAUUGUUGUCAAAGCAGUCAAAAGCAUCGUUUGUACUUCGACGCCGCCAGUUUCCAGUGUGUGUGUGCUAUGCUAUGACAAUCAAUAAAAGCCAGGGCCAGACGUUAUCUUUGGUUGGUGUAUAUCUUAAAAAACUCGUCUUCACCCAUGGCCAGCUGUAUGUAGCCGUGUCUCGUGUUACUUCGAGAGAUUCCUUGAAGAUCCUUAUAGUUAAUGAUGAUGGCACCUGUGGCUCCGAGACGAAAAAUGUUGUCUUCCCGGAGAUCUUUUGA
rnacentral:rRNA from 1 species